GACGAACGCUAGCGGCGUGCUUAACACAUGCAAGUCGAACGGAAAGGCCCUGCUUUUGUGGGGUGCUCGAGUGGCGAACGGGUGAGUAACACGUGAGUAACCUGCCCUUGACUUUGGGAUAACUUCAGGAAACUGGGGCUAAUACCGGAUAGGAGCUCCUGCUGCAUGGUGGGGGUUGGAAAGUUUCGGCGGUUGGGGAUGGACUCGCGGCUUAUCAGCUUGUUGGUGGGGUAGUGGCUUACCAAGGCUUUGACGGGCAGCCGGCCUGAGAGGGUGACCGGCCACAUUGGGACUGAGAUACGGCCCAGACUCCUACGGGAGGCAGCAGUGGGGAAUAUUGCACAAUGGGCGGAAGCCUGAUGCAGCAACGCCGCGUGCGGGAUGACGGCCUUCGGGUUGUAAACCGCUUUCGCCUGUGACGAAGCGUGAGUGACGGUAAUGGGUAAAGAAGCACCGGCUAACUACGUG
rnacentral:rRNA from 1 species